GCGAAGCGAUAAGUGGAGCGGUGAAAGGCUCAGUAACGGGCGAUUUAUUUGAUCUCCUGGGACGGACAACAUCGGGAAACUGAUGGGAAAACGUCUAAGUUGCAGUUUAUUGAUUGUGACGUAAACCUUUGUGUGCAGGAGAGUAAGAUGCCAUCCUAUCAGUUAGUAAGUAGGGUAAGGGCCUACUUAGACGAAGACGGGUACGGGGAAUGAGGGUUUGAUUCCGGAGAGGGAGCCUGAGAGAUGGCUACCAGGACCAAGGUCAGCAGCAGGCGCGAAAAUUAUCGAAGCCCGCCUAGGGGCGAUAGUGAGGAGACGUGUAUACGAAGUACGUGUAAAGACCGUACUAAUAACUGGAGGUCAAGUCUGGU
rnacentral:rRNA from 1 species